rnacentral:pre_miRNA from 14 species
UCUUCAGAGUUGUGGGUGGUUGUGAGAUCCCGGACGAGCCCCCAAAUGAAAGACCAGGGUGGGGAAAAGCCCCACUCAAGUCUCAAGACGACGCAACCCCCCAAGAACUCACGAGAAACC